UCCCGCUUAUCACGGGCAGUUCCCCCAGAGUGCCCAGCGUGACCUGCUGGCAACUGAGGGUGUGGGUUGCGCUCGUUGCCGGACUUAACCGAACAUCUCACGACACGAGCUGACGACAACCAUGCACCACCUGUUCACGAGUGUCCAAAGAGUUCCGUAUUUCUACGGCGUUCUCGUGUAUGUCAAGCCUUGGUAAGGUUCUUCGCGUUGCAUCGAAUUAAUCCGCAUGCUCCGCCGCUUGUGCGGGUCCCCGUCAAUUCCUUUGAGUUUUAGCCUUGCGGCCGUACUCCCCAGGCGGGGCGCUUAAUGCGUUAGCUGCGGCACAGAGACCGUGGAAUGGCCCCCACACCUAGCGCCCACCGUUUACGGCGUGGACUAC
rnacentral:misc_RNA from 1 species